ensembl:rRNA 5S_rRNA 5S ribosomal RNA
CCUGGUUAGUACUUGGAUGGGAGACCGCCUGAGAAUACCAGG